rnacentral:lncRNA from 1 species
CUACACCAUAGGCAGAACAGCGGCAUGGGCUGUUCAACUGAGUAUACGUUAUUUAUUGAUUAGACACUAAACAAGGGGUAGAUUAGUCAAGAGUAUUCUGGGGAAAGGAGUGGCAAUUCCCAGAACUGAGGGUUCCACCCUCGCCUUCAGAUCAUAUAGAGUAACUUCCUAACAUCGCCAUGGCAUUUGUAAACGCUCAUGGUGCUGGUGGGAGAGUCUUUCAGCAAGCUAAUGUAUUAUAAUUAGCAUAUGAUGAGCAGUGGGGACAACCAGAGUUCACUUUCAUUGCCAAUCUUGGUUUUGGUGGAUUUUGGCCGGCUUCUUUAAGUAUCCUGUUUUACCAGCAGGGUCUUUGUGACCUGUAUCUUGUGCUGACCUCCCUGUCUCAUCCUGUGACUUAGAAUGCCUAACCUCCUGGGAAUGCAUCCCAGCAGGUCUCCGCCUUCUUUUAUGCAGCCCCUAUUCAAGAUGGAGUCCCUCUGGUUCAAACGCCUCUUGACAGUUCAUCCUUUCAGUGUUUCCGGCUAGGAAAUUUAAAUGUUUGUCCAUCCUAUUCACUGGGCUCUGAAGCACUCAUUUAGUACACGGAGAAAGGAGAGGGAGGGGGGAUGGGAGGAGGGGAGGAGCAGAGGAGGGAGAGGAGGCGGAGUCGGUUAGUCUAUCCUCUCUGCGGGGCCUCUCUGCUGGGACCCAGAUGCCGAGCACUGAAAUUCUCAUCCGCCACACACAACAUGGAGGCUUCCUGGACCCGCGCCCAAUUUUCGCUUCCUGGAUGGAAGCUACGUCAUUUCCCCCUCUGUUGCCCUAGCGCCCCUUGGAAGCCAAGAAUAUGAGGAAGUCUUCUUCCUUCGCGCCUUCUUCUUCCUUCUUCUUGCUUACGCUCCAGGGCAGCCUGACAGAGCCGCUCGAAGGCUCUGCUGGCCGCGGCUAGCCGGUGAGGAGGGUGGGGGGAGGGGCCGUCCCGCGUGUCGGGGAGUCUGAAGGCGACCAACGAGAGGGAGGGCCGGAGCGGGGAGGUGGCUCGGAGGCAUGUCCAGUAAAUUGGGGAUGAAAAUCCUCCCAGGAACACGAUUAUUAAUGGGUUGAGGGAAGUGGCAGGUGCAGCGGUUGCGCAGAGACAGUGAUGCUUAGUAGCCAGGACUUCAUGGAAAAUUUGUGUGUAGAGAGGGCCACAGCAGCCUGAAAACCAUUUUCGUCCCCUUUUAGGUUUACCCAUUCCACUGGGCCCAGCCACCACCCACUCCUGCUGUCUGGAAUUUUGGCAUUCAAAUAGGGGCUGGAAGACUUGAAAGCAGUAGAAAUUUCACCACAGGUGCAGCAGAAGUCCCAGGUAGCUGAGAAGUUCAUGGAAUCUUCUUAUUUGCUACACCUUUCACUACUGCUUGUGAUAUAGUGCAGGGCUGGGAUGUGCAGACAUUUCUCAAGUGCACUGUGUACCUACACAGCAUGCUGCAAUUUGGCUACUGAAGUCAAGAGAAACUGGUUUGAACAACUACUGAGUGUAACAUAGGAAGCGCAUUUCAUUUGAUAACAGGAACACAGCUUUUGUGCUAAUAAAGUGCUUUGAAAAUUAGUGUGUGGUCUUUAGUAAUUAGC